rnacentral:rRNA from 1 species
AUUGAACGCUGGCGGCAGGCUUAACACAUGCAAGUCGAGCGGGGGAAGGUAGCUUGCUACCGGACCUAGCGGCGGACGGGUGAGUAAUGCUUAGGAAUCUGCCUAUUAGUGGGGGACAACAUCUCGAAAGGGAUGCUAAUACCGCCUACGUCCUACGGGAGAAAGCAGGGGAUCUUCGGACGUUGCGCUAAUAGAUGAGCCUAAGUCGGAUUAGCUAGUUGGUGGGGUAAAGGCCUACCAAGGGGACGAUCUGUAGCGGGUCUGAGGGGAUGAUCCGCAACACUGGGACUGAGACACGGCCCAGACUCCUACGGGAGGCAGCAGUGGGGAAUAUUGGACAAUGGGGGGAACCCUGAUCCAGCCAUGCCGCGUGUGUGAAGAAGGCCUUAUGGUUGUAAAGCACUUUAAGCGAGGAGGAGGCUACUCUAGUUAAUACCUAGGGAUAGUGGACGUUACUCGCAGAAUAAGCACCGGCUAACUCUGUGCCAGCAGCCGCGGUAA